GUGCUAAUUCAAAUUGGUCUCCUAAGUAUUCCCUUCUGUUGGUAGCAUUUGGCUGUAGAGUAAAACGAGCAGCUGCCACAGAGUAUUUGCUAAUGCUUCCUUUCUCAAAGGGAGAUUAGUAACAAAUUUAAGUUUGUGUUAAUCCCCACCUGUAUAGCCUGAUGGCCUCUGUUGGUUUUUGGUGAGUUCAAAUAAUUGCUACAAAAAUAGUUUGCUCUUAUUUGCAUAAUAGAGGACUAUAGCAACAAUAUCUGCACUCUGUUAUUAACCUAUUUUGCAGUAAAUGGUGUUUACUUAUGGCUUUGUACAUGUGUUAUCUAUUAAGUAACAUCUCUAAAAAAUGGAUGCUUACAUACUUGUUAAAUGGAAACCAAAGUGUCAAAAACGAUUUGGAGGAAAGUAAAAGUAAAUGGCAAAUGUUGACAGUCUUGAGGCUUACUGAAGUUAUCAGAAAUGUGAAUUACUUAGACAUUAAUAAAAAGAAAUAAUAAUAACAGCUUUUUAGGCUUGACUGGAACCAUUUAUGGCAAAAUUUCAACAUCACUUCACACAGUAUGACACAUUCCCAUUUUCCCAGUGCAGUUAAGAUUUCAAUUACAAUGUAAUACAAAUUGUAUUAGUCUUUUGUGAUGGAACAUGAUGGAAGAAUAAGAAAAAGAGUGUAUAUAUAUAUAUGUAUAACUGGGUCACUGCUGUAUAGAAGCAAUUGAGAGAACAUUGUAAAUCAAUUAUAAUUUUAAAAAUUUUUUAAAGAAACAAAAAUUUUUUUAAAAAUGAAGCAUUUUUAUGUAAAAGAUACUGUCUUCCAUGGUUUUAUUGUUGUUGAUUUUUUAAAUUUUGCUUUAGCUGUCUUUAAAAAUGAUUUGGGAGUUCCCCUGGUGGCUCAGGAGUUAACAAACCUGACUAGGAUCCAUGAGGAUGCGGGUUUGAUCCCUGACCUUACUCGUGGGUUAAAAGAUCUGGCGUUGCUGUGGCUCUGGCAUAGGCUGGCAGCUGUAGCUCUGAUUGGACCCCUAGCCUGGGAACUUGCAUAUGCCACCAGUGUGGCCUUAAAAAGCAAAAAAAAAAAAAAGAAAAAAAGAAAAAAAUUUGUAGUGAUCUAGCAUAAACAUAAUGAACGUGUGUUAAUUACAAGAUGUUUUUAAAUGUAAAUGAUCAGGAUCCAUUUGGGAGAGGUGAGUCUCUGGGUAAUUAGACCUAAGGUAUCUCUCACCAAGUAUUUUCUAGCUCUGAAAGAGAACUGUUGUUGCUGGCAUCUCUUGUGACUUCAGAUCCAAUACCAGAGAUGUUCAACUCUUCUUCUCCAAGACCAUGCUACUCAGAACUUGAGCAAGAAUUUCUUCUGGGAAAUUUUUCUGCAUAGUUUGAGUACCUCAUUCAUAGUGUAAAGAAUGAUGGGAACAGAUAUAACCUUCAAAAAUGUUGGUGGCACUGCUAAGAAAACACUUUUGAGCUAAUAAUACCACCACUCAGCUUUUAAUGUAGUAUUAUGACAUGAAUUCCCAGAUUGAAAGAGACCUGAAGAAGUGUACUCCAUGGUACAGGAUAUGGAUAUGGAUAUGGCACAGGAUUUUGUAUGGAUAGGUGGAAGAAAGAACUGAAAAAACCCUGUAACUUUGUAUCUUUAAUUCUCCAACUUACCAAAUUUCAUUGAUAAAUCAAAAAAAUCAUAAUACAUGAAAUUUGAAAUUUGAUUAAAUAAAAAAUAAAUAUAAAACAAUUUUCAUCCUACUAGGCUAGUGGAAGAUUCAACCUCAGUUUUUCUGGGGCUCCCCAUACAACAAGCAGCACAAGUUCCCAGUAUUAAGAAAUGGGAGCUCUCUCCAGUUACCUACAGACAGUUGGCGCCGGCUGCCACAGGGAGGCCUGAUAACUAGUUGCUCUAAGGACCCCUGGUGUUCUUCCUUAAGCAUCUUCAAAAAAGCUGAGAAUCUGAGCAGAGUUUCAGAGGAUUGUGUGAUCUGUCUCUCUAGGGUCACAGGAAAACAAAAACAAAAACACCUAUAUUUUUAUGUUUCUCAAAGGCACAUCCCUCUCCCUUGCCCCCAAAGGACUCCAGCACUGUUCUUUCACUGAUUUUAGCAGGAGUCUGCUUUAUACAGCUUCUAUUUUCUGCUCUGUAAAAACCUCUAAAGAAAGGAAUGACAAAGAUCACCUACCCACCUGGAAUGAAGGGACUGCAAAAUUUGUAGGGAACGCAAAUGCUAUUCAGUAUUGGAAUAGAAUACUGCCAAAAACAUGAGUUUUAAAGUGAUGAAAAGUUUGCUAGAAAAUUUUAAUGGUCAGUGAACCAAAAUGUGAAAAAUACUUCGUCUUGUCCCUUCAAUGCAACCCAUUCUGAUAAGACUUAAAAGCAUGUGAUAAAACUUUUUCCAAGCCAUUUUUUUGUUCAGUUUUCUUUGAACUCAAAACGAAAAUUGACUUUAUCACACAGUAGAAUCUCCUCUUCACCCUCUCCCUGAUCACUUUUCUCUCAUCAACAGGGGACUGCACUGUUAAGGUAACUCCUGAGAAGGGGGUACUUCUUGCAUUUAUUGACUGUCAUUGUUUCAGAAAUACUGAUGCAAGCUAGAUUCUUUCACUGCAUAUUCCUUCACCAGUCACAGGUGAUUCUUUACUCCCCAUACCCUCAAUUAUUGGAUCCUAUUGGUUUUGCUUUUGUCCAUUAAUUUCUAUGUGCUGACAUUUUUAUGAUGCUCUGGUUACCUUAGCUUCAUCCAGAGCCUUCUCUUGAGGAAUCUGCCUGCCUACAUGCAGAUAUCCCUUUAUUCCACCCUGUAUGACAUCACAUGAGUUUUCUGAAAGUACUCUUUUAGCUUGGUAUCCUUGGUCCUGCCCAAUAGUGUUGAUUCUUUCUCUCUUGUAAGAGGAUUAUUUCCAGGCUAUUCAGCCUGGCCUUUCCAACCUACAAGAAUAUGGAUCCAACUUUCUUUUGCCUUAUUUCUUCUUAUAUCUCUGAAAAAACUCACUCAACCUAGGCAAACCUUCCUAUUCUCUUCUUUUCAGUCCACAAGUCCCUAUCUCUGUUUUUAGGAUAUGCUAUUGCUCUCCUUUUGCACCUGGGGAAAUCCCCAAUAUUCUUUAAGUCCAGGUCAAGACCUGCCUUCUCCAAAAAUGUUCUUCAAAAACUGUUGUAGAGAGAGUGGCUUCUCUUAUCUGAAAACCUCCAAGUUUGCUUUCCUGUAGCCAUUCAUUAUUUCCUUGAGUAUAUAAUUGUUUAGACUUAUGGUUGCUCUUCUUGUAUUUUUAAAUCAUGUCAUUAAUGAAGAUUUACCUCUGUGGCUACAGACUGUGGGCUUUGAGUGUGAGACUGCUAUGGUUCUCAGUAGGUCUUCUGACAGAGAUCUGUACAGCCUGUGGAGCUGUUUUACCCUGCCAUUAAGAUGUCUGAAAUGAUGACUAUGGCAGAAUUGAGAGAAGAACAUGUUUUUAAAUGAACUAUCUCUGUGUAUAUAUAAACAUAUAUAUGCACAUAAGUAUCUAUCUAUGUAUAUCUUUAGCUUCUAUUGCAAAUAAAAUGGAUUAAGUGAACAUCUUGAUUUUUGACAGCAUUUGAGAAAGGGAUCCCACAUUCUUCUGGAAUAAAGAAACAGGAAAUUUAACUAGUGUAGGGGAUACCUUUCCUCCAAGAGAAAGGAAAAAACUUCCUCCAGCAACCAAAAUCCAAUCUAAUCUUUAAAAAAGUAUUUUGUAUGCACAUAAAAGUGGGCAUUUGAAUUAUCCAUUCAUCAAAGCAUUAAAACUCAAAAACUCAUUUCUGCUCUCCAGAAUGGCACCAUUGCACAUUUCUGCUCCAGAAUAAUUCGUGUGGAUGGAUCUGGCAGCCAAACAUGAAAGUGUGGGUGCUGAAUGGCUGGCAGCUGGCCCAGUAUUUAACCCUGCUGUUUUAGAAUGUCAUAAAAUAAGCACAAUUUAAUCUUUCCAAAUCAUUUGGUCAGUGGCUGUGAUUUCCGCAGAAAAUAACUUCAAAGAAGACAGGCACCUCUGUUGAUGCUUAUUUAAGCAGCCUUGAGUGCUAAUAUAUUUAAGAAUAGGAAACAAAAACCUCAAAGCCUGUAAUACAUUCUUAGAAUUAUAUACCAAGGGUGGUGUUGUAGACUGGCCUACUGAGUUUCCUGAUGGUAAAGAUGUGCUCAGAUUGAUACCAUUAAGAGAUAAUGUCAUCAGCUAAAAAGUCAUCACAGGUGUAUAGAUGCUGCUUGUGAAACCUAUCAAAGCAGAAACUUUCCCCUAAAUACAGAGUACAGAUUGGUGGUUGUCAGAAGUGGGGGUUAUGGGUUGGUGGAAUGGGUGAAGAGAGUCAGAAUGUACAAACUUCCAUUUAGAAAGUAUGUAAGACCUGAAGAUGUGAUGUAUACUAGAGUAUGACAACUGGAGUUAAUAUUGUACUGUAUAUUUGAAAGUUGCUAAGGAAGUAAACCUUAAAAAUUCUCAAGAUGUUAACUAGGCUUGUUAUGGUGAUCAUGGUGCAAUAUACACAAAUAUCAAACCAUGAUACCAUGAUACCCCCUGAAACUAACAAUGUUGUAUAUUGAUUAUAC
rnacentral:lncRNA from 1 species